rnacentral:rRNA from 1 species
UGGCGGCGUGCCUAAUACAUGCAAGUCGAACGGGAACCUCUGGAUUCGUCUGGGGGGGAGAGUGGCGAACGGGUGAGUAACACGUAGGCGACCUGCCCCGAAGACGGGGAUAACCACUAGAAAUGGUGGCUAAUACCCGAUGUGCUCGGCGAUUCAUUUCGUCGAGUAAAGCUUUGGCGCUUCGGGAGGGGCCUGCGACCUAUCAGCUAGUUGGUAGGGUAACGGCCUACCAAGGCGAAGACGGGUAGGGGGCGUGAGAGCGCGACCCCCCACACUGGCACUGAGACACGGGCCAGACUCCUACGGGAGGCAGCAGUCGGGGAUAUUGCGCAAUGGACGAAAGUCUGACGCAGCGACGCCGCGUGGGCGAUGAAGGCCUUCGGGUUGUAAAGCCCUUUUAUGGGGGAAGAGACAAGGACGGUACCCCAAGAAUAAGCGUCGGCUAACUACGUGCCAGCAGCCGCGGUAAAACGUGGGACGCGAGCGUUAUCCGGAUUUACUGGGCGUAAAGUGCGUUGAGGCGGUUCCGUAAGUUGGACGUGAAAGCCCCUGGCUCAACUGGGGGAGGUCGUUCAAUACUGCGGAACUUGAGGACAGCAGAGGGAGGUGGAAUUCCCGGUGUAGCGGUGAAAUGCGUAGAUAUCGGGAGGAACACCAGUGGCGAAGGCGGCCUCCUGGGCUGUUCCUGACGCUGAAGGCGAAAGCUAGGGGAGCAACGGGAUUAAAA